rnacentral:rRNA from 1 species
AAUCAACGCUGGCGGCGUGCCUAACACAUGCAAGUCGAGCGAGAAAGGGGCUUCGGCCCUGAGUAAAGCGGCGCACGGGUGAGUAACACGUGGGUAAUCUGCCCUCGAGUGGGGAAUAACACCGGGAAACCGGUGCUAAUACCGCAUACGAUCACGAUGUUUUCGGAUGUUGUGAUGAAAGGAGCAAUUCGCUCUUGGAGGAGCCCGCGGCUGAUUAGCUAGUUGGUAAGGUAAUGGCUCACCAAGGCAACGAUCAGUAGCCGGUCUGAGAGGACGGUCGGCCACACUGGAACUGAGACACGGUCCAGACUCCUACGGGAGGCAGCAGUGGGGAAUUUUUCGCAAUGGGGGCAACCCUGACGAAGCAACGCCGCGUGGAUGAUGAAGUCUCUUGGGACGUAAAAUCCUUUCGACAGGGAAGAAACCGCAAGGUUGACGGUACCUGUAGAAGAAGCCCCGGCUAACUCCGUGCCAGCCGCCGCCGUAA